CCCUUAGAUGUUCUGGGCUGCACGCGCGCUACACUGAAGCUAUCAACACGUUUUCCCUCCCUGAGAAGGGCGGGUAACCUUUUGAAUCAGCUUCGUGGUAGGGAUCGGGGCUUGCAAUUGUUCCCCGUGAACCAGGAAUUCCUAGUAGACGCGAGUCAUAAGCUCGCAUCGAUUAAGUCCCUGCCCUUUGUACACACCGCCCGUCGCUACUACCGAUUGAACGUUUUAGUGAGGCAUUUGGACCGACGCAUCUCAGUUUAACCGCUGGUUUGUGUUGGAAAGACUUCCAAACUUGAGCGUUUAGAGGAAGGAAAAGUCGUAACA
rnacentral:rRNA from 1 species